rnacentral:rRNA from 1 species
AUGUAUAAUAUUAGGAGGGAUUUAGUGAACAAAAAUGAUGAUGCUCUUGCUGAUCAUAAAGAUGGAGUGUAUUACUUUUCAGCGUUGGUUAUAGAUUGUCUCACUGUUGUAUGGCCUAUACUUCUGAUUUUCACGAUCUUAGCUGAAUGGGCUUAUAUUUGUGCAAUUUCUCUUGUAGUUGUGAUAUCUAUCUACAUCUUGCUUAAAAGGUCUCAGUCUCAUCUCAAGGCUCAACAACAUCUGCCUUCUCUUAGGGACAUGCUUGUCCAUAUUGGCAGUGGAUUUCAAAAUCUUUCCUAG